UUAUUGGCCCAGUGGAUAGGGUGAAAACCAGUAGACAUGACAUAUCUUGAUUUUAGUAAGGCUUUUGAUACAGUCCUACAUGACAUUCUCAUAAAAAAACUAUCAAAGGGUAGCUGUGUUAGUCUGGAUCUAAAACUAGGAAAACGUGGACUAGACAAAAUUACUGUAAGGUUGGGGCACACCAACUUGAACGACCAUACUUGCUAUCAAACUGGGAGGGCAUAUCUAGCGAGUUCUUGCAGGAUCAGACCUGGAUCCAGUAUUAUUCAAUAUUUUCAUUAAAUGACUAGAAUAAUGGGGUGCAGAAUUAUAAUAUUUGCAGACGACACCAAACUUGGAGAGGUUGUUAGCACUUUGGAGGAUAGGAUUAGAAUUCAAAAUGACCACAACAAAUUG